UUGUUUGAUGGCCGAGAAAUUAGGCAAUAGACUGUAGAUCUAUUUACGGAAUUAAGUUUCCUCAACAAA
rnacentral:tRNA from 1 species